rnacentral:rRNA from 1 species
AAACUGGAGAUGGCGACCGGCGCACGGGUGAGUAACACGUAUCCAACCUGCCGAUAACUCGGGGAUAGCCUUUCGAAAGAAAGAUUAAUACCCGAUGGCAUAAUAGAACCGCAUGGUUUGAUUAUUAAAGAAUUUCGGUUAUCGAUGGGGAUGCGUUCCAUUAGGCAGUUGGUGGGGUAACGGCCCACCAAACCUUCGAUGGAUAGGGGUUCUGAGAGGAAGGUCCCCCACAUUGGAACUGAGACACGGUCCAGACUCCUACGGGAGGCAGCAUG